ensembl:lncRNA
AAAUGACUUGUGUCAUGCACAAAGUAGGUGUUAUAACAGAUUUGCCAAAACUAUAGUUUGUUAACAAUACAUUUGAGGAGUGGUUGAAAAACAAGUUUAAUUGACUGCAACAUUUGUUUCUAAAAACAGAAAGAAAUCAUUCUAAAUAACGAACUGGCUUUAUUUACUACAGUGUGAAAGUGUGAUUGCCUCUCUAUAAAGUGAUUUUCUGAAACAAGGGGUCCUUCUACUUCACUUAUUAAGCUACUUCACGUAUUUAUGUAAUGCACUAGUUUAUUUAGGCAACUUAAUAUAUUUGUUUAGGCUUGGCCUAUUUAGUAGGUUAUUUCACAGCAUAAAGCUAUAUUUGUUGGCAUAAAGCUGAGUGACUCACUCAUUUGUGGCUUUGGAUCAAAAUAAAUUAGUACCAACAUUAUUUAUAAUCGUCUUCAAUAAAGAAAUGUUUUGACCAAGUGUUGUGUUUGUUCAAUUAUUCGUGACAUUGUGGUUACAAGGAAAAUUCUAAACAAAAUAAAUCAAAUAAAUCCUAAAAUCAGAUGCGUGUUGCAAGCUUGUCAUUUUUCCUUAUUUACAUUUUUUUUACAAUUUUAUUUCAUCUUUAUAAACAAUACCAAACAUACACAUACAAACAACAACUACAUAACAUCUGCCCAGACCCAUCUGCUCACACCCCAUCAUCUCCAGCGCCCACAUCACUCUCCACCACAUGGCCUCAAACUGCACCAUUUUGUGUUUAACCUUCUGAAUGAAUGAUUAUAUUGAAGAUAGAAGCCACCUCUUAAUGAGUUCUGAGUGCCGAUCAGUUACCCAACAAAAUAAUACCAAUUUAUUUGAACGUGGUACCUUCAGUAUAGAAUAUGUCAGGGAUCAACACAUUGAGUAUAUAAUAUGUCAGGGAUCAACACAUUGAGUAUAGAAUAUGUCAGGGAUAAACACAUUGAGUAUAUAAUAUGUCAGUGAUCAACACAUUGAGUAUAUAAUAUGUCAGGGAUCAACACAUUGAGUAUAUAAUAUGUCAGGGAUAAACACAUUGAGUAUAUAAUAUGUCAGGGAUAAACACAUUGAGUAUAUAAUAUGUCAGGGAUCAACACAUUGAGUAUAUAAUAUGUCAGGGAUCAACACAUUGAGUAUAUAAUAUGUCAGGGAUAAACACAUUGAGUAUAUAAUAUGUCAGGGAUCAACACAUUGAUAUAAAAUAUGUCAGGGAUCAACACAUUGAGUAUAGAAUAUGUAAGGGAUCAACACAUUGAGUAUAGAAUAUGUAAGGGAUCAACACAUUGAGUAUAUAAUAUGUCAGGGAUCAACACAUUGAGUAUAUAAUAUGUCAGGGAUCAACACAUUGAGUAUAUAAUAUGUCAGGGAUCAACACAUUGAGUAUAUAAUAUGUCAGGGAUCAACACAUUGAGUAUAGAAUAUGUAAGGGAUCAACACAUUGAGUAUAUAAUAUGUCAGGGAUCAACACAUUGAGUAUAUAAUAUGUCAGGGAUCAACACAUUGAGUAUAUAAUAUGUCAGGGAUCAACACAUUGAGUAUAUAAUAUGUAAGGGAUAAACACAUUGAGUAUAGAAUAUGUAAGGGAUAAACAUCUAGGAGCUAUGAGUUCUCUGAGCAUCAUGGUGCAUCUAAUACGGAGUUGCAUUUUUUCAGACAACUGAUAGACCCUAAAUGUUUAACCUGCUUAUACCACGUUCAUCACGUCAGUAAACAUAAGAGUAAUAACUAUGGCAAAACUACUGAUACUAACAACUACUGAUUAAUAAGCUACUGAAAAUGUGAUACAUUUUUAUAGCCAAUUGUUUUGAAUGGUUUACCAUCAUGUCACAACAACUGCUUACGACUCUUCUCAGCAGUCAGAUUCAGCUUGUGCGAUCUCUUAGAGCCAACAUUUUGUAGUUCUCCAUGUUUUUCAACUGCUCACUGACAUCUGAAGUAAAUCACAAGCAUAACCUUCGGUCAGAAGUCAGGUAGGGGAUAUAGAACACAACAGGGCUAACAUAAGAAUAGAGCAAUCUGUCAUUUACCUGGGAGAGAUAAACUGUUAGGUGUCUUCAGGGACCGCUUCAAUGACUCCAGUAGUUCGGUUCUCAGCGUCUGCUCUAUGUAUUCCUAUAACACAUCAAAUGUAGUCUGAUCACUAUUCCAUGUUUUUUGCUGUCAUUUUGUGUUGAUUAAUCAUUUUAAUGGUGAUAUAAAAUCUACAAACCCUCAGGUUCUCAAAACCUUCCAACAUCUUUUUCUGAGCAUUGUCAAACAUGAGGUUUUCGAUGAGUCGAUGUGCUUGACCAGCAGUUCCUGAGUCUUCGUCAAGGUUCCCUUUCCAGAUAUGUUUGAAGCCUCUUAAAACAUGAGAUGAUCUAUUAUACAUGAUACAUACACUGAGCAUACAAAACAUUAGGAACAAGAGCCUCAAUUCAUUAGGGUAUGGACUCCACAAGGUGUUGAAAACGUUCCACAGGGAUGCUGGCCCAAGGUUGACUUCAAUGUUUCCCACAGUUGUGUCAAGUUGGCUGGAUGUCCUUUGGGUGGUGGACCAUUUUUGAUACACACGGGAAACUGUUGAGAAUGGAAAACCCAGCAGCUUUGCAGUUCUUGACACACAAACCGGUGUGCCUGGCACCUACUACCAUACCUGGUUCAAAGGCACUGACAUCUUUUGUUUUGCCUGUUCACCCUGAAUGGCACACAUACACAAUACAUGUCUCAGUUGUCUCAAGACUUCAAAAUCCUCCUUUAACCUGUCUCCUCCCUUUCAUCUACUGUGUGAAGUUCAUUUAACAAGUGACAUCAAUAGGGGAUCAUAGCUCUCAGCUGCAUUCACCUGGUUAGUCUAUGUCAUGGAAAGUGAAUGGAAACGUUUUGUACACUAAGUGUAUGUAUUAUCCACUUCAAUACAACAGUCGUAAGGAAAAAUGGAUUGUAAUAAAGUAAUCAUCACAGCUAGGUUUAAAUAAUCAAAUAUUUAAUUAGAAGGUUUGGUAUUACCUUUAGUCAAAUCUUGCUGUCUAAUGAUUCUUAGUUCCUCAUAAUCAAACUGGUGACUCACCCUCAUAACAUGGGCACAUUAUGGUCUUGACUUCGUCAGUCAGAGAUUCAUAAAUCACUUUCUUCUUCAGGAGGACAUCUCGCUUCAGUCUAUCCUUCAAAACAUUUUCCUUUUAGAUGUAGAAGAGAUUUAAAAUUCAGGCACAUUUUUGUCUUGUAAUUAAUGUGCCUUGCUUUUCUGUUAUUAUUAUUAUUCUUUGGCCCACUAUUGCUCAACUGUUUAAUCUCUUCAAAAUGCAUAUGAGUUGACACUUAAUAGCCACAUUUUGUUACUAAUAGCAUUCUCACUUAACAUUAAACUAUUAUUGUUCCUGUGUAAUAAACAAAUGACUUUGAGCAUUUUAUUAUCAUGUUGUUUCAUAAUACUUUGGUUAUUGCAUUUUAAUUGCAUAGUAAUGAGCUGAAAGUUUUGUUACUACCAUACACACAUUUUCCUAUUUUCACUUAUGUAAUAAGUAAUAACAUUUUAGGACAGUUUCAAAAGUCUUAUGUAACAACAAUGUUGCUAUACUUAUAAUCACAAAAUGUUUACACGUUUACGAACUUGAUGUAAAAUGUUACUGUAUUACCCUAUGUCUCAUUCAUUGUGAAAAUGUAUAUUUGUUAGGAAUUUUGAAUCUGCAAAAGUGGUUAACUGUAAUGUUGAGGUGAUUCCAUGUCCGUUAAUUGUAGGCUAAAGGCUAUAUUAAGUUUCUUAUCUAAGAGCCCUCCGAACCAUGUGCUUAUAAUUAUAUAGUUAGACUUAUUCAACUAACUUUUGUCGUUUUUGGUUCUUCAUCAAUAUUUGCCAUAAUUGCAUAUAUUCAAAUAUGCUUUUAGUUGAAACUCUAUAUAAACUAUACUGAACAAAAAUAUAAAUGCAACAUGCAACAGAUUUGACUGAGUUACAGUUCAUAUAAGGAAAUCAGUCAAUUUAAAUCCCAAUCUAUGGAUUUCACAUGACUGGGAAUACAGAUAUGCAUCGGUUGGUCACAGAUACCAUAAAAAAAAAAGGUAGGGCGUCGAUCAGAAAACCAGUCAGUAUCUGGUUUGACCACCAAGACAGUAGUGACCACCAAGACAGAGUGACCAGCAAAACAGUAGUGAAGAGGGCAUGACAACCUAUUCCCCCUCAGGAGACUGAAAAAAUUUGGCUUGUGUCCUCAGAUCCUCAAAAAGUUCUACAGCUGCACCAUCGAGAGGAUCCUGACCAGUUGCUUCACCGCCUGGUAUGGCAACGGCUUGGCAUCUGACUGUAAGGUGCUACAGAUGGUAGUGAGUACGGCCCAGUACAUCACUGGGGCUAAGCUUCCUACCAUCCAGGACCUACAUACUAGGCGCUAUCAGAGGAAGGCCCCAAAAAAUGUCAAAGACUCCAGUCACCCAAGUCAUAGAUUCUUCUCUUUGCUACCGCACGGCAAGCGGUACCGGAGUGCCAAGUCUUGGACCAAAAGGCUUCUUAACAGCUUCUACCCCCAAGCCAUAAGACAGCUGAACAAUUAGUCAAAAGGCCAUCUGGACUAUUUACAUUGACACGCCUCCUUCCCAUUGUUUUUACACUGCUGCUACUCACUGUUUAUUAUCUAUGCAUAGUCACUUUACCCCUACCUACAUGUACAAAAUAACUCAACUAACCUGUACCCCCGCACAUUGACUCAGUACCGGUACCCCUUGUGUAUUGCCUCGUUAUUGUUCAUUUUUAUUGCGUUGCUUUGUAUUUUUAUUUGACUAUUUUUACUUUAGUUUAUUUAAUAAAUAUUUUCUUAACUCUUUCUUGAACUGCAUUGUUGGUGAAGGUCUGUAAGUAAGCAUUUCACUGUAAGGUCUACUACACCUGUCUUAUUCAGAGCAUGUGACAAAUAACAUUUGAUUUGAUUUGAUUUGCCUCACGCAGUGCGACAUCUUCUUUGCAUAGAGUUGAUCAGGCUGUUGAUUGUGGCCUGUGGAAUGUUGUCCCUCUCCUCUUCAAUGUCUGUGUGAAGUCGCUGGACAUUGGCGGGAACUGGAAUAUGCUGUCGUACACGUCGAUUCAGAGCAUCCCAAACAUGCUCAAUGGGUGACAUGUAUGAUGAAGAACUGAGACAUUUUACGGUUCCAGAGAUCCUUGCGUCUUGGGGCCGUGCAUUAUCAUGCUGAAAUAUGAGGUGAUGGCAGUGGAUGAAUGGCACGACAUGGGCCCUCUAUCAGGAAUCAAGGUAAGACCCAAGUGCAGACUGUGUGAAGUAACAAUGAUUACUGUAACCAUCGGGGGAAGGCAAACGACAGGUCAAGGCAGGCAGGCUCAGGGUCAGGAACAGGCAGAGUUCAGUAAUCCAGAGGUGGAGCAAAGGUACAGGACGGCAGGCAGACUCAGGGUCAAGGACGGGCAGAGUGGUCAGGCGGGCAGGUACAGGGUCAGGGCAGGCAAGGGUCAAAAACCAGGAGGAUGAGAAAAAGAGAGGCUGGGAAAAGACAGGAGAUGACAGGACGAACACUGGUAAGCUUGACAAACAAGACAAAUUGGCAACAGACAAACAGAAAAAAACAGUUAUAAGUGCACAGGGGAUAAUGGGCGACGCCUGGAGGGGGUGGAGACAAUCACAAAUACAGGUGAAACAGAUCAGGGCCAGCCUCAGGGUCAGCCUUAGGAUCUCGUCACGGUAUCACUGCACAUUCAAAUUGCCAUCGAUAAAAUGCAAUUGUGUCCGUUGUCUGUAGUUUAUGCUUGCCCAUACCAUAACCCCACUGCCACCAUGGAGCACUCUGAUAACAACGUUAACAUCAGGAAAUUGCCCACACUACACCAUGGUCUGCGGUUGUGAGGCAGGUUUGACAUAUUGCCAAAUUCUCUAAAACAACGUGGGUGGUGGCUUAUGGUAGAGAAAUUAACAUUAAAUUAUCUGGCAACAGCUCUGGUGGACCUCCAUGCAGUCAGCAUGUCAAUUCUUCAGACAUCUGUAGUAUUGUUGUGUGACAAAACUGCACAUUUUGAAGUGGCCUUUUAUUGUCCCCAGUACAAGGUGCACCAGUGUAAUGAUCAUGCUGUUUAAUCAGUUUCUUGAUAGGCCACACAUGUCAGGUGGAUGGCAACGGAGAAAUGCUCACUAACAGGGAUAUAAACAAAUUUGUGCACAGAAUUUUUGCAAAAUAAGCUUUUUGUGAGUAUGGAACAUUUCUGGGAUCUUUUAUUCAUGCUCAUGAAACAUGGGACCAACACUUUACAUGUUGCAACUAUUCAGCUAAGUAAUUGAAAAUAUUAUAUAUUCAAAUAAACUACAAAAUACAACUAUAUUCUGCCCAAACUACAAAAUACAACUAUUUUCUAAUACUGUAAACACUUUAACUUCUGACAAAAAUUUAGACCACUUUCCCAACAAGUUAGGCAAUAACUUAGAGACUAUGAAAUAUUUGUCUAUGCCUCUGCUGUUCAGCAAUCAGACUACCAAUCCACAAAACACAUGUUUUAGUAACUGUGUAAAAUACUGUUUUCUCUCAACCUUUAGAAACUGCUAUUUUAACCACCUUCCCAACAACUUAGACAGACAAUUUAGAAUUUACAGAAUCUUUGGCUAUUUCUCUGCUAUUCUAAUUAUCAAUCAGAACAGAAAUAUCCUGAACCAAUUAAGAGAUGCAUCUAUUUUAGUAACUGCAUCCAACUAUUUAAAUAAUUGCCAUGGAACAUUCAGAAUGUUUUAAUUAUAGCAUAGGGAGAGAACAUUAUAAGACUUGAUUGACCACACAGCUCACUCCAACUCACUAAAAUAACAAACCCACACUACAAUAAUAACCUCUCUUACUAUAGAAAAUAUGAUUACCUACUACUAUACAACAGUCACUAGGCUACACAACAGUCACUAGGCUAUUGCAACUACCAUUGAAUUUACCACAGUGAGUUUGCUACCGGGCAGCCGGGCCAUGGCAUAUUCCCUAUAUUCCCACCGUACUGGAUGGGGUAAUCAAUUAACUAGGUGCCGGCCAUUUCUGUGAGCCAGUUGCACAUCUCUCACUCGCUGUAUCAUCUUGGUGGAAAAAGUCACACCCAUAAUACAUGCUGAUUCAAUGGACUGGAUAAUGUCUGACAUUAUGAUAGUACCUACAUGUUUCACUGUGAGAGCACCAUUGUAGUUACAGUAACAAGCUUACAUAUACAUGAACACACUCAGAGCAAAAACAUUGUCAACCUCUGUUGCAUUCCACUAAAUGCUAACCGGAUACUAUAAAUACAGUCACUACUUCUACUAAAAGACAUUGGCUUUUCUACUAGCAUAAAAAUAAUUUUGGACAGAUGAAGCAAGCACAACAUAUUCUUCAGGAAAAUUACCCUAUCUAGUCAAAUAAAUCAUGCUUGCAGUGUGCCAAGGACAAAUCACACCACUAUACCUCGGUGGUGAGAAACAUCAGAUACAGAGACAUGGGGGUGUUCUCCCACUCCUUGGCCAUGCUGUCUGAGAUGAUGCUGAAGUUGCAGAUCUUCUCAUAGAUUGAUUCUCCUGUUGUUCCAGCAUUUCUUUGAAACAAGAAAUUAUAACCACACCAUUAGUUGUCCUUUAUUCAAAUAGAGAUAAUGGAUUGACUAAUGUGAAACAAUACUUGGCUUUGUGAGAAUAGUACUUACGGGAAAAUUACAGCAAAUCUCUCAUUUAUGGCAGUGUACAUAGAUUCGACCAACGUUGUGUUGAGGUCUGUGAUGUCUCCAUUUGUUGACCUACAGAACCCUUAUUCCUGCAUAAAGAUGACAAUGUACGAUGGUAUCCUCUGCCAUCCUUCCU